rnacentral:rRNA from 1 species
GAUGAACGCUGGCGGCGUGCCUAAUACAUGCGAGUCGAGCGAACGGACGAGAAGCUUGCUUCUCUGAUGUUAGCGACGGACGAGUGAGUAACACGUGGAUAACCUACCUAUAAGACUGGGAUAACUUCGGGAAACCGGAGCUAAUACCGGAUAAUAUUUUGAACCGCAUGGUUCAAAAGUGAAAGACGGUCUUGCUGUCACUUAUAGAUGGAUCCGCGCUGCAUUAGCUAGUUGGUAAGGUAACGGCUUACCAAGGCAACGAUGCAUAGCCGACCUGAGAGGGUGAUCGGCCACACUGGAACUGAGACACGGUCCAGACUCCUACGGGAGGCAGCAGUAGGGAAUCUUCCGCAAUGGGCGAAAGCCUGACGGAGCAACGCCGCGUGAGUGAUGAAGGUCUUCGGAUCGUAAAACUCUGUUAUUAGGGAAGAACAUAUGUGUAAGUAACUGUGCACAUCUUGACGGUACCUAAUCAGAAAGCCACGGCUAACUACGUGCCAGCAGCCGCGGUAAUACGUAGGUGGCAAGCGUUAUCCGGAAUUAUUGGGCGUAAAGCGCGCGUAGCGGUUUUUUAAGUCUGAUGUGAAAGCCCACGGCUCAACCGUGGAGGGUCAUUGGAAACUGGAAAACUUGAGUGCAGAAGAGGAAAGUGGAAUUCCAUGUGUAGCGGUGAAAUGCGCAGAGAUAUGGAGGAACACCAGUGGCGAAGGCGACUUUCUGGUCUGUAACUGACGCUGAUGUGCGAAAGCGUGGGGAUCAAACAGGAUUAGAUACCCUGGUAGUCCACGCCGUAAACGAUGAGUGCUAAGUGUUAGGGGGUUUCCGCCCCUUAGUGCUGCAGCUAACGCAUUAAGCACUCCGCCUGGGGAGUACGACCGCAAGGUUGAAACUCAAAGGAAUUGACGGGGACCCGCACAAGCGGUGGAGCAUGUGGUUUAAUUCGAAGCAACGCGAAGAACCUUACCAAAUCUUGACAUCCUUUGACAACUCUAGAGAUAGAGCCUUCCCCUUCGGGGGACAAAGUGACAGGUGGUGCAUGGUUGUCGUCAGCUCGUGUCGUGAGAUGUUGGGUUAAGUCCCGCAACGAGCGCAACCCUUAAGCUUAGUUGCCAUCAUUAAGUUGGGCACUCUAAGUUGACUGCCGGUGACAAACCGGAGGAGGGUGGGGAUGACGUCAAAUCAUCAUGCCCCUUAUGAUUUGGGCUACACACGUGCUACAAUGGACAAUACAAAGGGCAGCGAAACCGCGAGGUCAAGCAAAUCCCAUAAAGUUGUUCUCAGUUCGGAUUGUAGUCUGCAACUCGACUACAUGAAGCUGGAAUCGCUAGUAAUCGUAGAUCAGCAUGCUACGGUGAAUACGUUCCCGGGUCU